rnacentral:rRNA from 1 species
UACGAAGGGGGCUAGCGUUGCUCGGAAUCACUGGGCGUAAAGCGCACGUAGGCGGAUCUUUAAGUCAGGGGUGAAAUCCCGAGGCUCAACCUCGGAACUGCCUUUGAUACUGGGGAUCUCGAGUCCGGGAGAGGUGAGUGGAACUGCGAGUGUAGAGGUGAAAUUCGUAGAUAUUCGCAAGAACACCAGUGGCGAAGGCGGCCCACUGGCCCGGAACUGACGCUGAGGUGCGAAAGCGUGGGGAGCAAACAGG